rnacentral:rRNA from 1 species
AACGAACGCUGGCGGCAUGCCUAACACAUGCAAGUCGAACGAGACCUUCGGGUCUAGUGGCGCACGGGUGCGUAACGCGUGGGAAUCUGCCCUUAGGUUCGGAAUAACUUCGGGAAACUGAAGCUAAUACCGGAUGAUGACGUAAGUCCAAAGAUUUAUCGCCUAAGGAUGAGCCCGCGUUGGAUUAGCUAGUUGGUGAGGUAAAGGCUCACCAAGGCGACGAUCCUUAGCUGGUCUGAGAGGAUGAUCAGCCACACUGGGUCUGAGACACGGCCCAGACUCCUACGGGAGGCAGCAGUGGGGAAUAUUGGACAAUGGGCGAAAGCCUGAUCCAGCAAUGCCGCGUGAGUGAUGAAGGCCUUAGGGUUGUAAAGCUCUUUUACCCGGGAUGAUAAUGACAGUACCGGGAGAAUAAGCUCCGGCUAACUCCGUGCCAGCAGCCGCGGUAAAGUGACUACUG